rnacentral:rRNA from 1 species
GGUAAACGCUGGCGGCGUGCCUAAAACAUGCAAGUCGAACGCACCGUCUUCGGAUGGUGAGUGGCAGACGGCUGAGUAACGCGUGGGUGACGUACCUAUCGGUGGGGAAUAACUGCCCGAAACGGGUAGGGCUAAUACCGCCAUACGCCCGUUCGAUGCAUUUUGUACGGGGAAAGGACUUCGCGAGAGGCGCUGAUGGAGCGGCCCGCGUCCGAUUAGCUGGUUGGUGGGGUAACGGGCCUACCAAGGCGACGAUCGGUAGCUGGUCUCAGAGGAUGAUCAGCCAGACU